rnacentral:rRNA from 1 species
GACGAACGCUGGCGGCGUGCCUAAUACAUGCAAGUCGAGCGGACGAAUCGAAAGCUUGCUUUUGAUUCGUUAGCGGCGGACGGGUGAGUAACACGUGGGCAACCUGCCCUGUAGACGGGGAUAACACCGAGAAAUCGGUGCUAAUACCGGAUAACACGAAAUGUCGCAUGACGUUUCGUUGAAAGACGGCGCAAGCUGUCGCUACAGGAUGGGCCCGCGGCGCAUUAGCUAGUUGGUGAGGUAACGGCUCACCAAGGCGACGAUGCGUAGCCGACCUGAGAGGGUGAUCGGCCACACUGGGACCGAGACACGGCCCAGACUCCUACGGGAGGCAGCAGUAGGGAAUCUUCCGCAAUGGACGAAAGUCUGACGGAGCAACGCCGCGUGAGCGAAGAAGGCCUUCGGGUCGUAAAGCUCUGUUGUUAGGGAAGAACAAGUAACGCAGUAACUGGCGUUACCGUGACGGUACCUAACGAGAAAGCCACGGCUAACUACGUG